AUACGGAGGGUGCAAGCGUUACUCGGAAUCACUGGGCGUAAAGCGCGCGCAGGCGGCUUGAUAAGUUGGAUGUGAAAGCCUACGGCUCAACCGUAGAACUGCAUCCAAAACUGUCAAGCUAGAGUCUGGGAGGGGAAGAUGGAAUUAGUUGUGUAGGGGUAAAAUCCGUAGAGAUAACUAGGAAUACCAAAAGCGAAGGCGAUCUUCUGGAACAGUACUGACGCUGAGGCGCGAAAGCGUGGGGAGCAAACCGGAUUAGAAACCCUAGUAGUCC
rnacentral:rRNA from 1 species